rnacentral:rRNA from 1 species
CCGGUCCUACGGGGGGCAGCAGUGAGGAAUAUUGGUCAAUGGGCUUACGCCUGAACCAGCCAAGUCGCGUGAGGGAAGACUGCCCUAUGGGUUGUAAACCUCUUUUGUCAGGGAGCAACGCCGGCUACGUGUAGCCGGACUGCGUGUAUCCGAAGAAAAAGCAUCGGCUAACUCCGUGCCAGCAGCCGCGGUAAUACGGAGGAUGCGAGCGUUAUCCGGAUUUAUUGGGUUUAAAGGGUGCGCAGGCGGACCAUCAAGUCAGCGGUAAAAUCGUGGGGCCCAACCCCAUCCCGCCGUUGAAACUG